UCCGUAGGUGAACCUGCGGAAGGAUCAUUAGCGAAUGCAGAGGCCUGCCUUACGGCGCCUCGAUUCCACACACACACACCUUUACGUGAACUGUCGAGCCGGAGACGACAUGGGUACUGCCUGUGGAGGCUCUGGCUCUCAUCCCUCAAACUCCAUAAGUUUUUGUAUGUGCAAACUGUGCGAAAUAGCAAUCAGUACAACUUUCAACAACGGAUCUCUUGGCUCCCCCAUCGAUGAAGAACGCAGCGAAAUGCGAUAAGUAAUGUGAAUUGCAGAAUUCAGUGAAUCAUCGAAUCUUUGAACGCAUCUUGCGCCCCUUGGUAGUCCGAGGGGCAUGUCUGUCUGAGCGUCGUCUUUACUCUCAACCUCCUCCCUUGUUCUCUGUGGAUGAGGAGAGGCUGGCUGGAUCGUGAGUGCUGCCGGAACAUAUGUUCGGGCUCGCUUGAAAUGGAUCGGUGGUGACUUUGGCUAGCUUCCGAAAGCUCCGAAGACCCGGCGUGAUAGAGAUGUUUCGUCGAGGGACUCGGGGAGACUAGGGGCUCUGUGCCUGACCGCCUAGCCUUUCUAUUGUCUAUCCCUUUGACCUCAGAUCAGGCAGGACUACCCGCUGAACUUAAGCAUAUCAAUAAGCGGAGGAAAAGAAACUAACAAGGAUUCCCCUAGUAACGGCGAGUGAAGCGGGAAGAGCUCAAAUUUGUAAUCUGGCCGCUCUGCGGUCCGAGUUGUAGUCUCGAGAAGCUGCAUCCGCGCCGGACCCUGCGUAAGUCUGUUGGAAUACAGCGUCGGAGAGGGUGAGAACCCCGUCUGUCGCAGGGACAACCGGUGCUUUGCGUUGCGCUUUCGAAGAGUCGCGUUGUUUGGGAAUGCAGCGCUAAUGGGUGGUAAAUUCCAUCUAAGGCUAAAUAUCGGGGGGAGACCGAUAGCGAACAAGUACCGUGAGGGAAAGAUGAAAAGCACUUUGGAAAGAGAGUCAAACAGUACGUGAAAUUGUUGAAAGGGAAACGCUUGAAGUCAGUCAUGCGGCGGGGAUCCAGCCUUCGGGUGUAUCUCUCCGUCCGCAGGCCAGCAUCGGUUCUGGGGGCCGGAUAAGGGUCGGAGGAAGGUGGCGCCUCCGGGCGUGUUAUAACCUCUGGCUUGAUACGGUUUCCGGGACCGAGGAACGCAGCUCGCCCUUGUGGCCUGCCCUCCGGGGCUGUCCGAGCUUGGGAUGCUGGCGUAAUGGCUUUAAACGACCCGUCUUGAAACACGGACCAAGGAGUCUAACAUGCUCGCGAGUGUUUGGGUGUCAAACCCGGGCGCGUAAUGAAAGUGAACGGAGGUGGGAUCCGCAAGGUGCACCAUCGACCGAUCCGGACCUUUUGUGAAGGAUUUGAGUAAGAGCGCGUAUGUUGGGACCCGAAAGAUGGUGAACUAUGCCUGAAUAGGGCGAAGCCAGAGGAAACUCUGGUGGAGGCUCGUAGCGGUUCUGACGUGCAAAUCGAUCGUCAAAUUU
rnacentral:misc_RNA from 1 species